GUGCCAGCAGCCGCGGUAAUACGGAGGGUGCAAGCGUUGUCCGGAAUCACUGGGCGUAAAGGGUGCGCAGGCGGGGCAGCAAGUCGGAUGGGAAACCCCAUGGCUUAACCAUGGAGGUGCAUUCGAAACUGUUGCUCUUGAGUCCCGGAGAGGUUGCCGGAAUUCGUGGUGUAGCGGUGAAAUGCGUAGAUAUCACGAGGAACACCAGAGGCGAAAGCGGGCAACUGUACGGGUACUGACACUCAGGCACGAAAGCGCGGGGAGCAAACAGGAUUAGAUACCCUAGUAGUCC
rnacentral:rRNA from 1 species